rnacentral:rRNA from 1 species
GAUGAACGAUGGCGGCGUGCCUAAUACAUGCAAGUCGAGCGAACGGACGAGAAGCUUGCUUCUCUGAUGUUAGCGGCGGACGGGUGAGUAAUACGUGGAUAACCUACCUAUAAGACUGGGAUAACUUCGGGAAACCGGAGCUAAUACCGGAUAAUAUUUUGAACCGCAUGGUUCAAAAGUGAAAGACGGUCUUGCUGUCACUUAUAGAUGGAUCCGCGCUGCAUUAGCUAGUUGGUAAGGUAACGGCUUACCAAGGCAACGAUGCAUAGCCGACCUGAGAGGGUGAUCGGCCACACUGGAACUGAGACACGGUCCAGACUCCUACGGGAGGCAGCAGUAGGGAAUCUUCCGCAAUGGGCGAAAGCCUGACGGAGCAACGCCGCGUGAGUGAUGAAGGUCUUCGGAUCGUAAAACUCUGUUAUUAGGGAAGAACAUAUGUGUAAGUAACUGUGCACAUCUUGACGGUACCUAAUCAGAAAGCCACGGCUAACUACGUG